CUUCGAAAGAUUACAGUUAUCAACUUUCAGCAGACCUAGAUGAUAGUUUUUCUGAUGAACAUUCUAAAGAAAAAUCAAGUUCUGGUGCGAAUAAAAAGGAUCAUCGAAUUGAAACUUCAACUUCUAUUAGCAGGAAACGCUCAGCUGAGAAAGAAUGCAGUUAUCAACUUUCUGCCGGAGCUAAAAAACAAUAUCAAGUUGAUGAAAUCGACCAAGCCAAAACCAUAGCCAGUUUGACCAGUAUUCUGGCCAAGAGGGAAGAAGAAAUUGGGAAACUGAGGGACGAAAACCAGCGAUUGAAAGAAAAAA